GACGAACGCUGGUGGCGUGCUUAACACAUGCAAGUCGAACGGAAAGGCCCUGCUUUUGUUGGGUGCUCGAGUGGCGAACGGGUGAGUAACGCGUGAGUAACCUGCCCUUUACUUGGGGAUAACUUCAGGAAACUGUAGCUAAUACCGGAUAGGAGCUCAUGCUGCAUGGUGGUGGUUGAAAAGUUUCGACGGUUGGGGAUGGACUCGCGGCUUAUCAGCUUGUUGGUGGGGGAGUGGCUUACCAAGGCUUUGACGGGGAGCCGGACUGAGAGGGUGACCGGCCACAUUGGGACAGAGAUACGGGCAAGACUCCUACGGGAGGAAGGAGUGGGGAAUAUUGCACAAUGGGCGGAAGCCUGAUGCAGCAACGCCGCGUGCGGGAUGACGGCCUUCGGGUUGUAACCCGCUUUCGACUGUGACGAAGCGUGAGUGACGGUAAUGGGUAAAGAAGCACCGGCUAACUACGUG
rnacentral:rRNA from 1 species